rnacentral:rRNA from 1 species
GCAUAUCAAUAAGCGGAGGAAAAAGAAACUAACAAGGAUUCCCCUAGUAACUGCGAGUGAAGAGGGAAAAGCUCAAAUUUAAAAUCUGGCAGUCUCUGAUUGUCCGAGUUGUAAUUUAGAGAAGUGUUACCCGUGUUGGACCGUGUACAAGUCUCCUGGAAUGGAGCGUCAUAGAGGGUGAGAAUCCCGUCUUUGAUACGGAUCCCAAUACAUUGUGGUACACUCUCGAAGAGUCGAGUUGUUUGGGAAUGCAGCUCUAAAUGGGUGGUAAAUUCCAUCUAAAGCUAAAUAUUGGGGAGAGACCGAUAGCGAACAAGUACCGUGAGGGAAAGAUGAAAAGAACUUUGGAAAGAGAGUUAAACAGUACGUGAAAUUGCUGAAAGGGAAACGCUUGAAGUCAGUCGCGUUGGUCGGGGAUCAGCCUUCCUUAUGGUUGGUGCAUUUCCUGAUCAACGGGUCAACAUCAGUUUUGAUCAAUGGAUAAAAGUUUGAGGGAUGUGGCAUCUUCGGGUGUGUUAUAACCUCUUGCUAUAUACAUUGAUUGGGACUGAGGAACUCAGCACGCCGCAAGGCCGGGUUUUUAACCACGUUCGUGCUUAGGAUGUUGGCAUAAUGGCUUUAAUCGACCCGUCUUGAAACACGGACCAAGGAGUCUAACAUGCCUGCGAGUGUUUGGGUGGAAAACCCGAGCGCGCAAUGAAAGUGAAAGUUAGGAUCUCUGUCGUGGAGAGCACUGACGCCCGGCCCAGACCUUUUGUGACGGUGCCGCGGUUGAGCAUGUAUGUUGGGACCCGAAAGAUGGUGAACUAUGCCUGAAUAGGGUGAAGCCAGAGGAAACUCUGGUGGAGGCUCGUAGCGAUUCUGACGUGCAAAUCGAUCGUCGAAUUUGGGUAUAGGGGGCGAAAGACUAAUCGAACCAUCUAGUAGCUGGGUUCCUGCCGAAG